UAGGAAGAGAGAGAGAGAGCGCUUCAUUAUACACAUUGUAGACAACCAGCCGGGGGAAAACCGUGAGAAUAGAAGAAAAGGGAGAAAAAGAGGAAGAAAAUGAAAGGCGGAUAACUCAACCAAAUUCUAUCUUGAAGACUAAUGGGUGGACGUCCGAGGCCUUAUAUCGACUUAACCCACUGUGAGCAAACUAAGCAACAAAGAUAGAGGAAGCCUCGGAGUCUACCCGUGUUAGCCUUUUGCAGAGCUUCCGGAAUGAAGCAAGUUAGGCUCGAAUAGAGCCAAGAAAAUCAACCCUUAGCUUUGUCAGAGCUUUGAAUUUUGCUGAGUCUUAAAUGUAUAUGUGUGUGAGAUAUAUAAGAUUUGUAUAUAAAUUAUUAUUGUGUUUAAAUGUUUCCAUUAUUUUAGUUAUCAUGUAUGCACAAGCUCAAUGGACAUUGUUAUUUU